CAUCACCUGUCCACCACCUUGGGUGGUUUUGAUAAUUAAAACCAUCAGCGUCCAUGGUUUUGAUAAUUAAAACCAUCAGCUUUUCCUUGGAUUUGAGAUACUAGUCCUCAAGUUGUGCCAUCACGUAUUGAAAUGUUUCAGUCUCUCUUUCUCUCUCUCUCUCUCUCUCUCUCUCUCUCUCUCUCUCUUUUGCACUCUCACUUCCCUCAUCUUCACAGAUGAGCUGCAGAACAUACCAUAGAUUGAAAUGUUUAAUUGUCUCUCUCUCUCUCUCAGUCUAUUUUCGCAUUCUUUCUUCCCUCAUCGUCACAGAGAUGAGUUGCAGAAAUUCACCGGUAAUCUCUCUCUCUUCGCACUCUCUUUUCCCCCAUCUUCACAGAGACGAGCUGCAGAAAUUCGCCAAGGCUUUGCUGCUACAUAGGAGAUCGAAAGUUUGGGAUUUGCAGCGAGAUUCAAAUCGCCUAGACUACCACGUAACGCUGCCUAGCCCGCCGAGCGCCUAGGCGAUCGCCUAAGUCCUCCCCGCCUAAUUGAACUCUUUGGUCUAAAUCGGAUUGGAACACUGGUUUAAGAAACUUAAUGCUUCCUCUUCUCCUCCACCAAAUGCAAAUGUUGUGCCCUACAACACAACAUUUUUAAUAAUAAAAAAGUUGGGCACAAUGGGGUGAGGUACAAGGAGUGCCUUAAGAACCAUGCAGCAGUCGUAUGAGGUACUGCUACGGAUGGCUGUGGUGAAUUCAUGCCUAAUAGAGAAGAAGGCACCAUCGAAGCCCUUAAGGGCCUUAACUGUUUUGCUUGCAAUUACCACAGAAAAGAAGUUGAAGGUGAUCAACAACAGCAGCUUUCCUCUUGGGAUCAUAAUUUCCAUCACACCAUCAACAGGGCGGUUAGAGUUGGGAGCACGAAAUUCUUAUUAAAUCAUGGAGGAGGAACAUGACAUCACAAAAGUUUACUAGCAUUACCCCAAUAUCCCUACCAACACCAGAUGAUAAUGUCUUACAACAUGGGGAUGGAAAUAGUGGAGAUAAUAUCUAACUACAACAUGGGGAUGCGAAUGAUGGGGUCCAUCCCCUUAGAUCAAUCUGAUUAGCAGAAAGAUCAUCACCGUCGUCAUCACGAUGGCAGAUCAUGUAUUGACAUAGGUGUAUGGAAAUCGCAUGCUUUGUUGAUCAUCAAGUUCAUUUGCUUGAAUCAAUAGGACUUUGAGAUCCAUUUGAAUGUUCGGAAAUUGGAGAUUGAAACAUAGUUGAAUUCUAAGAGAUUUGAAGAGAGAGAUGGACCUUUGAUUGGAAAAUGACUACUGACUGACGGUUUGAAAAAAUCAUUCCUCAUAUUGUUCUUCUCUGUAAGUGGUGGAUCAUGUAUUGAUAGAGAUGCAGGCUUUACACGCGCUUUUGUUAGAUAUUUUUAAUUUUUUUUCUUUCUCUUGUCCUUGUCAUUAAAUAAAGUUAAUGGGUGGUUAUUUGUUAACACUCAAAGUUUUUAAGUCA